rnacentral:rRNA from 1 species
CAGCCGCCGCGGGAAUACGUAGGGUGCAAGCGUUAAUCGGAAUUACUGGGCGUAAAGCGUGCGCAGGCGGUUAUAUAAGUCAGAUGUGAAAUCCCCGGACUCAACCUGGGAACUGCAUUUGAGACUGUAUGGCUAGAGUGUGUCAGAGGGGGGUAGAAUUCCACAUGUAGCAGUGAAAUGCGUAGAUAUGUGGAGGAAUACCGAUGGCGAAGGCAGCCCCCUGGGAUAACACUGACGCUCAUGCACGAAAGCGUGGGGAGCAAAUGGGAUUAGAUACCCCAGUAGUCCCUGUCUCUUAUAC